rnacentral:sRNA from 1 species
GCCGGGCGUUGUGGCGGGCGCCUGUGGUCCCAGCUACUUGAGAGGCAGAGGCAGGAGACUCGCUUGAGCCCAGGAGUUGGAGGUUGCUGUGAGCUGUGAUGCCAUAGCACUCUACCCAGGGGGACAGCUUGAGGCUCUGUCUCAAAAAAAAAAAAAUAAAGACAGAGUCUCACUCUAUCACCUGGGUAGAGUGCCAUGGAAUCAUAGCUCACAGUACCCUCAAACACCUGGGUUCAUGCGGUCCGCUUGC